rnacentral:rRNA from 1 species
UACGAAGGGUGCAAACGUUGCUCGGAAUUAUUGGGCGUAAAGCGCACGUAGGCGGCUAUCUAAGUCGGAUGUGAAAUCCCUCGGCUUAACCAAGGAAGUGCAUCCGAAACUGCUGAGCUUGAGUACGAAAGAGGAUCGCGGAAUUCCCGGUGUAGAGGUGAAAUUCGUAGAUAUCGGGAGGAACACCAGUGGCGAAGGCGGCGAUCUGGGUCGAUACUGACGCUGAGGUGCGAAAGCGUGGGUAGCAAACAGG